CGUCUGAUCAUCUGCUCUAAAUAAUAUCCUAAUCCUCCCUGAUAAAAGAAUUAUCUAUCACUCAAUCUGUUACAAAGAAAAAAACAAAUCUUGCUAAAUGCAUUUCUUUCAACAUUUUCCGAUGAUAAAGGUUUUAUCUUCUCGUGCUCUCUAUUGCAUGUCAUGUGAUGAUGAGUAGAUUAUUCUCAUAUCCACCACUCUGAACAAUAGGGCGUAGGGGAUCAAUUCUCCACUCANNNNNNNNNNNUCGUAUCUGCCUGGAUACAAUUUCAUGUACAAAGAAAAUACGCCUGUGCUCGACUUCUGCAUCUUUCUCUUGGUGGCCCAUCCAUCAAAUGAUCCAGC
rnacentral:misc_RNA from 1 species